rnacentral:tRNA from 1 species
UUAGUUGAAGCCAAAAAAGAGGCCUAUCACUGUUAAUGAUAAAAAUGAAUAAAUUAAUUCCAACUAAG